UAGUAGUCUAAGCCAAUACGUUUCCUGUUUAAUUACACCUGUAGCCAAUCAGAGAUCACCUUUGUUUGGGGAGUGGAGAAAAGACUUGGAGGGAAUGACACACAGGAGCAGAGCGGGAAAAGAAAAUUGAGUUUAACGCCGAGGUGACUAUGUUUGUAGACUAAAGAACUGUUACAGUAGUGGCACAAAUAUCAUUUUGUUCAACUAAGCGUCAUGAGCAACUUGCAGUUUGGUAACUUUGUGAACCGUAGGUUUAAGUGAAGUGCAGCUAGGUAAUUUGCAUUUGUUGUUUUGCACUAGCUUUAAAAGGGCUAAGUAUAAACUGUAACCCGUGGACGUUUAGCUAAUGUCAUUGUGACAGAUGGACAGCUGUAACUGCCAGCUGCAGUUUUCACUGCGGAACUGUAGGGACAAGGACUGUGGAGAACUGUGCUAAGUAGCACGGUAACUACGCCUGUGUAAGAAGGGACUCUGCAUUGCCAAACCUGCAUCUCUGAAUUGACUAUUGCCUGCUGGAACCUCACUUGCAGCAGAUUCAUUCACUCAGCUCAUUGUUUCCAAUUCAGCUAAUUCUUCUCUUCGAGAGGCAUGUGCAUGGUGAGGAACUGACUCAGCCUGCUACCAUGACAGUCCAGCCAGCCCAGAGUCUCUCCAUCAACUGCAAGGUGGUGUUGGUGGUGUGGGGCUCACUCAGUCAGCCUCUGUGCCCGUGAAACCUGGAGAGUCAUUCUCUAUCUCUUGUAAGAUCUCAGCGUCAAGCUAUUGUAUUAGCUGGAUACGCAACCUGCUGGGAAAGCACUGGAAUGGCUCGGAUAUCUGUGUAGCAGUGGUAGCACUAAUCUCAAAGACACGAUGAAGAGCAAGAUCAGUUUCAGCCAGGACACAUCCAUCAGCACAAUUUAUUGAAGAGGACAAAACUUUCAGACUGAGGACAUGGCUGUGUAUUACUGUGCAAGACACACAGCACUACAAACUCAUUGCAGCCCUGUACAGAAAUAUCCCAUUUAUUUUCCUCUCUCUGCAGUACACUUGUCUCCAGGGACACCUGGUAUAAAUGAGUUAGCAGGGUUAAGGUUGAGACCCCUCUGUUUUUCAAAGAUAAAAGUGCAUCAACAUAGUGUUUCAUCUUUGGCCUCAACAUGAAAUUAUUUGUUGUCCUGGGGUGGAUAUACAGUUUCAUCCAUCAUUAAUCCAUUCCAAAGCUUUUGUGCCGGUUGUUGAAUCUGAGCUGUGUAAAGUGGAUGUUGGUAUCAGUUAUAGAAGCUCCACACACUCAGCUCUGUACAAAACACACAUCUGCAAGAAGAGAAACAAAGUGAAAUGUUUUUGCACCUAUAGAGGGCAGUAGCUCACUUCUACUAAGGUAAAAUUCAUGAAACUUGCUUUUAAAGAAAACAUUUUCUGUAUGGUGUAUUACAUAUUAGUCCCUCUGGGAUUUAGGGAUUUUGUUAUCUCAGAAAUUAAUGCAAAAUCAAGCAAACUCUGCAAAAUUCAGAGGAGCUUACAAAUGUUCAAAAUUACUUCAGAUUUUCCACAGAUAAUUGCCAAGACGUGUCAUAUGAUGUCAUCACAAUGCACAUUCGACCAAAGCAUUCUUUGAUUCAUGUGCAUCGAACAACUUGGUUAACUUUCACUCACACAAUGAGCACAGUUAUAUACUCAAUGGUUUCAUAGCUUUCUGUUUAUGGAUACACAGUUUAAGUGAAUUGUUUAGUAGUUUCAACUGACUCCACAUUCAGUCUUAUAGAGCCAAUCAUGACCACAGUGUUAAUGAAGCACCUUGGCAGAAUAAAAUGUAAUCUAACCAUACUUGUGAAUCACUAAUAUCAAAUGUACUACAUUUUUCCUU